UAUGAGUGUGGGAUGGAUGAUGCAUGAUUGGCUAUAUGCUACAUGUAUGAGUGUGGGAUGGAUGAUGCAUGAUUGGCUAUAUUCUACAUGUAUGAGUGUGGGAUGGAUGAUGCAUGAUUGGCUAUAUGCUACAUGUAUGAGUGUGGGAUGGAUGAUGCAUGAUUGGCUAUAUGCUACAUGUAUGAGUGUGGGAUGGAUGGUGCAUGAUUGGCUAUAUUCUACAUGUAUGAGUGUGGGAUGGAUGGUGCAUGAUUGGCUAUAUUCUACAUGUAUGAGUGUGGGAUGGAUGGUGCAUGAUUGGCUAUAUGCUACAUGUAUGAGUGUGGGAUGGAUGGUGCAUGAUUGGCUAUAUGCUACAUGUAUGAGUGUGGGAUGGAUGGUGCAUGAUUGGCUAUAUGCUACAUGUAUGAGUGUGGGAUGGAUGGUGCAUGAUUAUCUAUAUUCUACAUGUAUGAGUGUGGGAUGGAUGGUGCAUGAUUGGCUAUAUUCUACAUGUAUGAGUGUGGGAUGGAUGGUGCAUGAUUGGCUAUAUGCUACAUGUAUGAGUGUGGGAUGGAUGAUGUAUGAUUGGCUAUAUUCUACAUGUAUGAGUGUGGGAUGGAUGAUGCAUGAUUGGCUAUAUUCUACAUGUAUGAGUGUGGGAUGGAUGGUGCAUGAUUGGCUAUAUUCUACAUGUAUGAGUGUGGGAUGGAUGGUGCAUGAUUGGCUAU